CUAAGGCGCAUGCAACAAAGACAAAGAACACAAACUUGAAACAUGAACUGAAAAGUGAAUCUGAAUAUUUCAAAGAGUGAAACCAGCUCAGGCAGUUUAGCAGACUAAGGGCGUUGCAACAAGUGAAAAUGGUUGUGGGUGGUGAACGGUCUGAAGCUGGUGUAAAAAAAAAACAAAAACAUUUAAAUCUAAAAUUAAUAAUUUACAGUCAUCCAAUUUGCAACCAGGCCUAACAAAUCCUG